AACGCGAAGAACCUUACCUGGGCUCGAAAUGUAGAGGACUAGUUAAGAGAUUAACUAUCCCGAAAGGGUCUCUAUAUAGGUGCUGCAUGGCUGUCGUCAGCUCGUGCCGUGAGGUGUUUGGUUAAGUCCAGCAACGAGCGCAACCCUUAUCGUUAGUUGCCAGCGCGUAAUGGCGGGAACUCUAGCGAGACUGCCUAGGUUAACUAGGAGGAAGGUGAGGAUGACGUCAAGUCCGCAUGGCCUUUAUGUCCAGGGCUACACACGUGCUACAAUGGUCGGUACAGAAGGCAGCGAAACCGCGAGGUGGAGCAAAUCCUAGAAAACCGAUCUCAGUUCGGAUUGCAGUCUGCAACUCGGCUGCAUGAAGUUGGAAUUGCUAGUAAUGGCGUGUCAGCAAUAACGCCGUGAAUACGUUCCCGGGCCUUGUA
rnacentral:rRNA from 1 species